AUGGAAAUUCUGCCAGAUAAGUUGGACACAUCUUCUCUUAUGUUGAAAGGAACUUUGUUGCAUAUGCGUUGUGCUGCUCAUAUAUUAAAUCUGAUUGUAAAAGAUGGGUUGGAUGUCAUAGAAAAAGGGAUUGAGAGGGUACGAGAUAGUGUUGCAUUUUGGUCAGCGACACCUAAAAGACAUGAGAAGUUUGAAAAGAUGGCACGCCUUUUGAACAAUGAAUACACAUGCAGAUUGGCUCUUGAUUGCAAAACUAGGUGGAAUUCUACCUACAUAAUGUUAAAGGGUGCGCUGCAAUACAAAGAUGUUUUUGAAAGACUUUAUAUCCGUGAAAAGAAUUUUACUUGU
rnacentral:rRNA from 1 species